UACGUAGGGUGCAAGCGUUGUCCAGAAUUAUUGGGCGUAAAGAGCUCGUAGGCGGUCUGUCGCGUCGGAUGUGAAAACCCAGGGCUCAACCCUGGGCCUGCAUUCGAUACGGGCAGACUAGAGUUCGGUAGGGGAGACUGGAAUUCCUGGUGUAGCGGUGAAAUGCGCAGAUAUCAGGAGGAACACCGGUGGCGAAGGCGGGUCUCUGGGCCGAAACUGACGCUGAGGAGCGAAAGCGUGGGGAGCAAACAGG
rnacentral:rRNA from 1 species